CCUACGGGAGGCAGCAGUGGGGAAUAUUGGACAAUGGGGGGAACCCUGAUCCAGCCAUGCCGCGUGUGUGAAGAAGGCCCUCGGGUUGUAAAGCACUUUCAGUGAGGAAGAACGCCUGGUGGUUAAUACCCAUCAGGAAAGACAUCACUCACAGAAGAAGCACCGGCUAACUCCGUGCCAGCAGCCGCGGUAAUACGGAGGGUGCGAGCGUUAAUCGGAAUUACAGGGCGUAAAGCGCGCGUAGGUGGCUUGAUAAGCCGGUUGUGAAAGCCCCGGGCUCAACCUGGGAACGGCAUCCGGAACUGUCAAGCUAGAGUGCAGGAGAGGAAGGUAGAAUUCCCGGUGUAGCGGUGAAAUGCGUAGAGAUCGGGAGGAAUACCAGUGGCGAAGGCGGCCUUCUGGACUGACACUGACACUGAGGUGCGAAAGCGUGGGUAGCAAACAGGAUUAGAUACCCUUGUAGUC
rnacentral:rRNA from 1 species